rnacentral:lncRNA from 1 species
GAUGCUUCUGUGUAUGGUGAUCAAACUAGCACAAUUACUAAAGAAAAUUUGGAGAUCAACCUUGGUGGACUCACUGUGGAAGAGGUGAAUGAUAUUUAUUAAUUCCAUGGCAAAAUGAUACAUGAAUCUCCAUUUAACCAUGACACUGAAUGUUUAUAAUGAUAUUUGUUCAACAGGCAUUGAAUGGUAACAAACUGUUCAUAUUAGAUCACCAUGAUGCAUUCCUACCAUAUCUGAGGAAGAUCAAUGACCUACCCACCGCAAAGUCUUAUGCCACAAGGACAAUCCUUUUCUUGAAAGAUGAUGGCACAUUGAAGCCAUUGGCUAUUGAAUUAAGUCUUCCACAUCCUAGGGGAGAUGAGUUUGGUGCUGUUAGCAGAGUUAUCUUGCCUGCAGACCAAGGCGCUGAAAGCACAAUUUGGCUAUUGGCUAAGGCUUAUGUUGUAGUAAAUGACUCUUGCUAUCAUCAACUCAUGAGCCACUGGUAUGCAUAAACUCUCCCAUUUGUCAUCACUUAUCAUAAACCAACUAUUAAGUGAUUCUUAAUUUAUUUGGUUUGCCAUAUCAUUUGAUCACAGGCUAAAUACCCAUGCCACAAUUGAGCCCUUUGUCAUAGCAACAAAUAGGCAUCUCAGUGUGCUCCACCCUAUAUACAAACUCUUGUCGCCUCACUAUCGUGACACCAUGAAUAUCAAUGGACUUGCACGACAAUCACUCAUCAAUGCAGGUGGUAUUAUUGAGCAAUCAUUUUUGCCCGGGCCAUUCUCUGUGGAGAUGUCUUCAGCAGUUUACAAAAGUUGGGUUUUCACUGAUCAGGCUCUUCCUGCUGAUCUUAUUAAGAGGUAAUAUUUAUGCAUUACUGUAAAAAUUUUCAAGUUAAAAUUGUUCAUUUAUUUCAUACCAACAUUGUGUGUCCUUUUAAUCUAUUUUCUGAAGAAACUUUAGUAAAUAUUAAAAGAUCUUGAUUUUUAUACAUUGUCAAUGUAAACCCAUUAUAAAUAACGUCAAGUAUUAUUUUAUGGUAUUGUGGUAGAAACUAACCAACUUAUCAUAAAUACAAUAUGUUAUUGGAUUAACAUAUAAAAGUCUUUUACUCUUUGUGCAUUAUGUAUAUUUUAUAUUUAAAAUGUUAAAAGCGAGUAUUGCCUUGUGGAAGUUAAAGACUGAUGAGAUAGUCAAAAUUCAUUUCAAUGAUAUUAUUUACUUAAGUAAAAUUGUUUUUUAUCUAAAAAAUGAAAGAGAAAUUUGGUGUUAACAACAAGUCCUUUGUUAUCUCCUUGAUUCAGAGGAAUGGCAAUUGAGGAUCCAUCCUCUCCACAUGGCCUUCGUCUAGUGAUUGAUGACUACCCUUAUGCUGUCGAUGGACUAGAGAUAUGGAGUGCUAUCCAGUCCUGGGUUAAAGACUAUGUCUCAUUGUACUAUGCCACAGAUGAUGCAAUUAAGAAAGACACAGAACUCCAAACUUGGUGGAAGGAAGCUGUUGAGAAGGGUCAUGGUGACUUGAAAGACAAACCAUGGUGGCCAAAGUUGAACACUCCUCAAAAUCUGAUUCACAUUUGCAGCAUUAUAAUAUGGACUGCUUCAGCUCUCCAUGCAGCUGUUAAUUUUGGACAAUACCCUUAUGGAGGUUACAUCCUAAACCGUCCAACUCUAACCAGAAGAUUGAUCCCAGAGCCAGGAACCAAAGAAUAUGAUGAGCUGAGCAGCAAUCAUCAAAAGGCUUAUCUGAGAACAAUUACAGGAAAAUAUGAGGCCAUUGUGGACCUUUCUGUGAUAGAGAUAUUGUCAAGACAUGCUUCUGAUGAGGUCUAUCUUGGACAGAGGGACAAUCCUAAUUGGACCGAUGAUACAAAGGCUCUUCAAGCCUUUCAAAAGUUUGGAAACAAACUGAAGGAAAUUGAGAAUAAGAUCUUAGGAAGGAACAACAAUUCAAGUCUCAGAAACCGUGUUGGGCCAGUUAAGAUGCCCUACACUGUGCUUCUUCCUACCAGUAAGGAAGGUCUCACUUUCAGAGGAAUCCCCAACAGCAUCUCUAUUUAAGGAGUCUACCUGUGUGGUUUAAUGUCUGUCCUACUUUAUCGCUCAAUACCAAAUAAUUAUGUUUGCUUGUCUCUGCAUAAUUGUCGGGUGUAUGCUUAAGUAAUGUAUGGGGAUCUUACAUGGUUCUCCUUUUAAUAAGAGUGGUAUCAUUUUGUGUUAAGUAUUGGGUUAUAUAAGUCUGAUAUCUCGGAUUUUGAAUAUCAAAUCAAAUUUCUCUCUGCCAUAUACAUUUUUAACAUAAACCUGUUGCAUGACUUUGAUUUGGGUAUCUAAAUUUCUACCUCAUAAAAAACAGAACAAGCUUCAUUUUUUUUUCCUUAAAUACUACUAAUAAUUAUUUUACUUUUUGAAGAAAAUAAAAAUGGAAUCAAGAAGAAGUAUUUUAAAAUAAAAGCAAAGAGAAAAAAUAAAAUAAUUGUAAUAAUAAAAAACUCUUUUCUACUUAUUGCAGUUCUGUUUCACUUUGCAUAUCCCUAGCCCGUCUCACUCUUUUCCUUUCCACACCCAUUUGCUUCUCUCCACGCACCCAUGCCACUCUUUUUUCUCACCCCAUUCUCAGUGCCACGCCGCCGCGCCGUCAACCGUUGCCAUCCAUCAUCAUCCUGCAUAUGUUUUUUAUUUUCCUCAUAUUUUUGGUUUCUUAUCACCUUUUCUCUCUCUUCAUUGAUUCAUACACUCAUAAAACAUAUUUAAAUGGCGGGUUCCACGUUUUUUUAUACAAACAAGAUAAAAUUAAAUUCAAAAUUCAAACAUAACAAAAAAAGAAUCUGAGCCCAUUCCGCAGCCCGACUUACGUUUUCUCACUGCACCCCUCCUUUACCGUCACACUCCUCUUAUUUCAAAACAAGGGAAAUCUGGGCACAUUCUGCUGGUCCAGCUACUUUUUACUUUCUGACCCCUUUGUCUACCUGCGCGACCCUCACUCAAAGCUUAACCAUAUUUACUCUAGCACGUUUUUUGUUUUUAAUUUUUAUUAAUAAAAAUUUGAAAAAUAAUAAAUAAAUUAGCAAGGGGCGACUCCUUCUUAAUUUUUUUUGUGUGAAAAUCUUAUUUUAUUUCGCAUCCCAUCGUUACCGCGAUAGAUCUUAAAACUAGGUUGUUGCCACUAUACAAUAACAAAGACACCACUAAUAAAGGUCUUAUAUCAAUCUUUGUGAAAAAGUUGUAUCGUGACACCAACAAUUUAUAUUUCUCUGUUGGUGAGAUGACCAUCACUUCGGAUGAUGUGCUAGUAUUGCUACAUCUUCCCAUUGUGGGAUAGUUUUUUUCGUAUAUGAUUUUGGAUUUUAAAUCAACUUUAUCAUUGUUGGUUGAGCUCUUUGACUUGGAGUUUGGUGAUGCUACAACAGAGUUGAGCGAGUGUUGUUGAUAUACAAACCAAAGGAUCAAGUUACCAAUCAAAAUAAAAAAAAACACGUAGAGGCAAAAUUAUAAGUAACUCAAGAUCAUACCUUCAAUUGAACCAGAGAUGACCAAACACAACAUCUUUAAAAAAGUAUUUAUUCAUAUGUCUCCAAAUCUCAACAAUAACUGCAAUCUAGAUACUUCCCCAAACAACAUUAACAGGUACAUUAAAAAGCAUUAAAAAGUUUGAAUUGGUGGAAGUGUGAAAGAGGAUCAUGAUGAUCUACCAAUGCCAACUCUAACCAAACAUAACAAUGGUUCCAAUCGAGCCAGACAAUUAAAAGUAAGAAAAAUCCCUUUAUAAAUUAACUAUUUCAUCUUGCACUCCUGCAAAAAAAAGUUGUUACUCCUCCAAAAGUCCACUUUAAUUAACAUAAGAACGUCUCCUCAAACCUACAAAACACACUGCUACAUCCUUCCUAAAGCAAGAGGUUGACUAUACAAAUUCUCUAAUAUGAAACAUUACUCCUUAACAUAUUUCAUACAUUCCAAUGAUUUCAUACACCAUUCAAAAUGAGAGAAAUCAGCAAAAAAAAAUUACAUGUAAUCCAAGUCUAGGUUUUUCUUUGUAAACCCUAAACCCAAAACAAGAAAUUAUGAGGUUUUGAAUUUGAAUUCUUUAGAUGUUUCAUGUUCAAGAAAUUGAUUAAGAUUUUUGAAGAUUUGGAUAUUGUGUUAUACUUUAACAACCCCAACUUUUAUGCUUAAAUUUAUGUGAGAUUAUAGUUAAUAAAUGAACUUGAGGUAGAUAAUUUAGUUUGCAUGUGAAAAUUUUACAAAAAUUGAGAAGUAAUGGAGUGAUUUCACGUUAACUAUGUUGAGUGGAGAUGUUUGUUGUUUCUAUGAUAAUAUUUUGAUUAUAUUGGAUAAUUUAAAUUCUUGAAAACCAGAGUUCUUGUAUGUGAAUAAGACUUUUAUAAGUUUAGAAAAAAUGGAGUUCUUAGGGUUAAACAAGUUAUUUUAUACUAUUUAAAUAUUAUUGUAUGAAAGAAUAUAAAAGAAACAAUAAAAAUAUUUGAGUCAUCGGUUUUGUUCAUGACUAAAGAAAAAUGUUACUUUUAAAUUUAUAAUCUAUAAUUUUAAUAAAGUUUAAGAAAACCAAUUUUUUUAAUAAAAUCGUAAAUUUCAAGUUCAUGAAGUUAAAUUUUUAAUUAAAUUAGUUGAUAGAGUGGUAUUUGUGAGUUAAAGUUUUAGUGUGAAGUCCUUUUAAUGAGGCACUUUUGCAAACUUCGAGUUGAAUAAGAUUAAGUUAGAUUAAAGCAUGAAAACUUUGCCUAUACUUAAUUUUAGAGAUCUAGUUAAGUUUAUGGUUUUGCAUAUUUUUGUUGAAGUGAAAUAUUUCUUAUUUAGCUUUUAUUUAGCGAAACUUUUCAAAAGAGAUAAAAGAUAAAUAUCUACUUAAAUAAAAUUUCUUUAGAAAGAAAUGAGAUUUUUUUAAGAAUUUUCCUCAACUAUAUAAAAAUUUGCUAAACGAAUUUAGAUACAACAUGAAGAAUGAAUUAUAUUUUAAAAAAACAACAGAUUAUAAUUGUGCUAAGUGGAUUUCUUAAAAAAAGUUCUUACUCUUUAUUACCUAAUAGGACUGUUCUCUUAAUUUUUUUAUUUAAUUUUAAUAUAUUUUAAUAAAAUUCAUUAUGCUUGUUAAAUUAUUGAGUGUUUAUUUAGGAUUGGUAUGUGGAUGUGAAAUCAUCGAGGUGAUUGAGGUGAGAUACUUAUUAUUAACAGAGUAAUAUUAUGAUGAUUUAAAUUUAAUUUAUAAUGUAAGUAUUAAAUUAUGAAACAUAAAUAUCUAUAUUUUUGUCUUAAAAGUAUAAUGAUAUUCAGGGAUAUAUCAUGUACGAAAAACUAAUGAAAGUUCCUACUACCUAUUUGAGCAUGAGUAGGAAUUUUGAGAAAAACAAUAUCAUGACUCAAAUUGAGAAAGUUGUUCCAAAUUAGAAUUUAUUAUCCUUAAACUAUGUUGGUUAUUAAUUCAGAUUUUAUUAUUAUUAAUUAUGAUUUUAUUACCCUUAAACUAUUUUACCGUUAUAUUCCAUUAAUUCUUAGUAGUCCAUGGUCUUACUAUUAAAAACAAGUUACAUGGCAAGUCAUCAACCUUUUUAUAAGAAAUAAAAUGAGUCAUUUUGGAAAAUCUUAAACAACCACGAGGAUAAAAUCUUUCUCCCAUUGAGUCUAUUGCAAACUUCCAUUGAAAUAUCAAGUCAAAAAUUAUUAGGAAAAGACAAAGGAAUGUACAAACCAUGUGGUUUCAUUAUUGAUUUGACCUUUUUACAAGUAAUGCAAUUUUUACAAAAUUUGUUCACAUCACAUUUCAUGUGAGGCCAUUAAUAAUGUUCAUACAAACUAUUUAAGGUAUUUUGAACCCCAAAGUGUCCCACUAACCCUCCCUCAUGUACUUCUCUAACUAAAAGAUCCUUAAUAGAACAUUUAGGCACACAAAAUCUUAUCUCUUUAAACAAAUAAUCAUUGUGCCUAAAAUAUCCAUUGGUGCUAAAAGUUUACGAGAAACAAAAGUUCCAGAAAAUUCAUAAUCAUGUGAAUAAAUUUCUUUCAAAAAUUUAAGACAAUUUUUUUGUUUGUUUAAAAAGUAGAAAUCAAAACAUGUCUUCUAGAUAAAACAUCAAGUACAAUAUUUUAUUUUCCUUUUUUUAUGCUUUAUGACAUACAAAAAUUAUUCUAAAACUUCAACUCAUUUGACAUGUCUUUUAUUUAAUUUUUGGCCUUUUAAAUAUUUUAAAGACUUAUGAUUUAUAUGAAUAAGAAAUUCUUUAUGUAAAAUAAAUAUGUCAAGUUUGUAACACUCUCACCGAGGCAUACAAUUGUUUAUCAUAAGUGGGAUAGUUUAGGGUGAUCCCUUUUAACUUCUCAUUAAAAUAAGCAAUUAAAUGACUUUAUUUCAUAAAAAAAAACCCUUAUACCCACAUUAGAUAAUGCACCACACUCAAUUUCAAAAGAUGUUGUGAAGUUUAGUAAUGCAAGAAUGUGAACAUUAGUCAAUUCAUGUUUAAGGGCAACUAAAACUUUUUCUUGUGUUUCCCUUUUGAAUGCGGGAAUAUUAAAUUUGAUCUUAUCCAAUCCCAGUUGUCUUUGUUCUCCUUCUUCUUCUUUUUUUCUCUCUUUUUAAACUUUUUUUUUUCUUUUACCCUUUGUUUUUAACUUUUUUUUUAACUUCUUUCCUUUAUCUUUAUACAUAUAAUUGAAAUUUCAUUUUAGAGUCUCACAAUCAUCACACAUAACACGCACAUGCACACACGAACCCACACACUCGCACACACACUCACACAAAUUGGAAAUUCACAGGAGACGAAUUGGAAUCAAUCAACAAUUUUAAGUUGAAAAGAAUAUCAAAUAAAUAAGGUGCCACAAAUAAGGUUUAAUAAGCCUAAUAAUGGUCAUCUAAAGAAUUAGUAAAUUCUUGAUAAUAUCAGAAGAUGCAAGGGAAUAAUCCUAACAAAGAAACUAUCACUCUUAUUUUGGCAAAAUAAUUAUUUUUUAUUCUGAAUUCUAAAAAUAUAUUUAUAGAUUUUGCUUCGUUUGUAAGUAAAUAAUGAGAUCUCACAUCACUACAAGAAAAUCACAAAAUAGAAAUUAAUAAUAAAUAGUUGCUAUAGUGACUAAAUUAGAGACCAUUUUAGAAAUUAAAAAAAAAUUGGUUUCUAAAUUAAUUUCUAUUAUUGUUAAAUAGUUUCUAAAUUGGUAAUGCAUCAUAUAUAAAUAAUGACAUUUUAUAGUAUAUAGGUGAGAGCAAACCUCACCUUAUAUUCUGAUUUUGUAAAAUUAAAUUAUACUUAUAAUCUACUUCUUAAUAAAUAAAAAUAAAAUAUAAUUUAUAUAUUUCAAAAAAAUAUAAUAUUGUCUUAAUAGUUAGAUUAAGACAUUUUGAUUCUGGAUUCAAAUUCUAACCCUAACUAAAAUAUUAAUCAGUAUUUUAGCAGUUCAAGCAUGUGUUUUUUCUAAGUCUUUUAAAUACUUCAGAUAAGAUUAUUAAAAUAAUUUGAGGAGAAGAAGAUAAGACACCAUUAUUGUCCUUGGAAGCAAAACAAGUGGAAGACAAGAGUGUAGGGGAGGGGUUGAAAACCCAAUGCCGACAUGUAUGUGGAGUAAUAGUACAAUGUCCUCUAUUCUAACACUAUUUCUCUUUCUACAUAAAAUAAAAAUAAUAAUUUUUAGACAUUUUAAAUCUCACUCAAUACUUUGUGAAAAUAAUUAAAAUUUAUAUAUUUAGAUGUAAAUAAAAACAAAAAAAAAAUUAGUAGAAAGUAUUUUAGUAUUUUACAGCAUUUUUAAAAUGGGUAUUUAAAAAUUAUUACUCUUUUGCUUAAAUAAAAUAAAUAAUUUUUUUAAGGGUUUAGUUCUUAAAUUAACUCCGUUAAAUAGAAUACAUAAUUUUUUUUGUAAACUUUAUGUUUGAUUUAUAUAAAUAAAUAAUCCUUUUAACUAUUUUUUUUUGUUUUGAAGUUAAAAACUGGUUGCGUACAGUUUGGUGAAGCUUUUGUCGUUUGUGGUUGUUCCUUUACACUCUUUUGAACGUGCAAAAUAUGUUUAAUUAGAACAGAACAUUUGGAUAAUGUUUGACCAGAAUAUUUUAAUACCUUUUUAUUUAUUUAAAAUAAACACUAAUUUUAAUGUAUAUGUUCUUCGAUGAGUCGGAAUAUUUAUAUACGCCUGUACAAAAUUAUGUUAUUCAUAAUUAACGUGAAGUCGUAACUAUAUAAAUUCUAAAAUAUUAGGAAUAAUUUAUAAUAAAAAAUUAAUUUUAGGUGAUUUUUUAAAUGUAAUUUUAAUUGAUCAAAGUUAUAUAAUUGAUGAAAUUAUUGAUGGAUUUUCAUGAUUAAUUUGUUCCAAAAUUUUACUAUUAAAUCUGGAAGCUAUUUACAUUCAAUAUAUUCGUUAACUUGGUUAAUAACAAAUAAAAAUUCAAAAUAAUUUCAAUUUAAAAAAGUUACUAUUUGGAUUUUGUAUUUGUAUACAUAAUAAAGUAGUUUGUUCACUUCAAGUCUUCUUCUUUAAUUGUUGGUGUUAGGUUGAAAGGUUGACUGAAAAAGUUACUCUGACGAUCAAGUAAUUAUUUUGUGUUAAAAGUGUAUAGUGAAAACUGAUUAAAGUGUAUCUUACACAUUUGUCUCUGUAGAGGGUUUAUUUAUAGUGUUUAAUCAUGAACUUUUGUUGUGAUGGAUUGAAUCUAUCAAAUAUUAGUGUUAAUUGAUUUCUAGCAUGAUCAUUGAUUUAUAGGGAGAUAUAUUUGUAUAUUUGGAAAAUAUAUUUAAUAAGUCAAUAUUUUCCACUAAAUCAGUGUUAGUUGGUUUUUAGGGGAUGUCACCCAAAAUCGGUGGGACAUUUUUUUUAUCGACAAAAAGGAAUGGAAUAAAUGAAGGUAUUUCAGGAUACCUCAACCUUAUACAAAAACAACGACGUCCUUCACCCUACCACUCACAUUGAGAGCUUUAAAGUGGACAACACGAGGGAAAGUUUGUCGUCUACCCAUACUCAAAUACAAAAAACAACACCUCUAACUUGAGUCAAAUCAGCUCAACUUGACCUCCCCCCUCUAACCUUUUCUAUUUUUUAUUGACCUCAUGCGUACCAAAGGUUCAAGACACCAAUCUAAGUAAGAAAAAAACAUGCUAAACGUACCUUCGAGAUGACCCAUGACCAAACCUGCAGCUGCGCCAUUGUGAAGAUUUCUAUGUGAUCCAUGCGUCCAUUCUUGAAAACCUUUGUUUCCAAAUUUCGCCUAUAACUGCUAUCCACACACAAUUCCAGAUCCGGUUAAUACCUUUGCUUUCCUCGUUCAUCCUGAAGUGAGACAAAAGUAUUUUUGAAUCCUGAUGAACCAUCGCUGUCCUGCCCACCCACUCAAAGCACUUUGCCCAAACCAACCACGCUACCCUACACGUACUAAAUAGAGAUGAAGCGUUGUUUCAAUCCUCCCCACACAUAUUACAUAUGCUACUCUCCACCGUGAUCCCCUCCGUUAGUUUUAGUCGCAAUUUUGUUUUCCAACACUCUCCAUGUUGUAACUAAGGCUGAUGUGGUUGAGCCUUAAUCUCCAUAACCCCUUGUGUAGGUCAGAACCUUCCCCCUGUAGCUCCCCUUUUAGGACUCUAUAAACAUACUAGAUUGUAAAACUUGUAUCAUCACUUUCUUUCCAGACCCACUUAUCCUCCUUAUCUUUGGUAUGCACCAGGUCAAUAAAAAAUAAGAAAGGUUAGAGGGGAGAGGUCGGUUUGACUCAAGUUAGAAGUGUUAUUUUCAUAUUUGGGUAUGGAUAAACAACAAACUUUCCUCCGUAUUUUACGUUUUAAAGCUUUCAAUGUGAGUGGUAGACUGAAAAAUAUCGUUAUUUAUUCUAUUUUUUUAUCACUAAAAAAAUACAUAAUCACAUAUUAAUAUCAUCCAUCAAUCACCUAAAUUGAAUAAUUGGCUCGUGCAAUUCCGAAGUACAGAUCUAAAUAACAUUUUGAACAAUGUGUGAAUUGUUUUUGGAACUAGAUUUAUCUGCAACAUGUAACUUUUUGGAACACACAAAAAAACAAGAUAUACAAUACAAUAAUUGAAUAUGAUCAGAAACUCUUAUAUCACAUCCAUUACAUCAUCAAUCAUACACAUUUUUUUAACAAUGAUUACAAUAUUUCUCACUUCGCUAAAGACAUCACACAUAAAUGUAUACAAAAAUCAAGAUUUGUCGAUUUUUUAAGAUAUUUAUUGAGUUAGUCUGUUUGAGAUUAACACUUCAUGUAUGAUUAGAGUUUAUUGAACAUAAAUAAUUAUUUAUAUACAAUAACGAUAUCUUUUUUGCAUAGACUUUAAAAAAAAUGUUGUGUAAGAAUUUUUAUCAAUUUUCAACACCUAAAACAUUUAUUUACGUACAUGAUUUUUAGUUAUCAAUAAAACUUGAAUGUUUUAUUUUUAUACUAAUUUCUUAAUUUAAUACUCAUGUUAUAUUCAAACUAAUGACAAUAUUAUAUAAUAUUAUAUAUAAGGUUGAAAGUGUUGAUUAUUAAUUCAGAUUUUAUUAUUAUUAAUUUAAAUUUUAUUACUUUUAAACUAUUUUGACUCCUAUUAUUACAUUAAUGAUCAAUUUUCAUAGUAUUUCUAUUUUAUAGUUUUCAAGUAAUUAUAAUUUUAUAAUAUAUACUGUUGAAGUAAAUUAAAAUGAAUAAGAUCUAGUCGGCAGUUUUGCAAUGUGCAAUUACCUUCAAUUAGUUUAUACAACUUUUUUUUUUUCAAUUAGUUUCUACAGAAAUUGUCACGUUUAAUUAAUUAAUUUAUUUAUUGUUAGUAGGGAUCUCUGUUAUGCUGGAUUUUUGUUUUGAAGUGAUAUUUUCUGUAAUGAGCAAACAACAACGUGUAGGCGAAGCAGAAUGUGGAUAUAGUUUCAGUAUUUUAGGCAUAUGAUAAUUUGGGAUAUUUUAACCCUUUACAUACAUUAUCUUGUUCUUCUUAGAAAUCAAAAAGUCAAAUGAUAGUCUAAGAAUUUUUGUUUCAUAAAACUCUAAAAUCCUUCGUAAGUAUUUGAGACAAAAAUAGCAGUACUUAAAACAACUUAGUACUUUCCAAAUGAUUAUGGAUUAAUUUUUAAUUAUUUUUUUUUCAAAUUAAGAUAGAAACAUUUGAUACUUGUAUAAUCGAAUUAAGCAUAAUUGAUUAUAUUAAAAAAAAUAGCUUUUCAGAAUCGAUUAUUAUAUGAAAUAAUUAAUUAUGUGUUAAUAAAAUGAGAUCUAGUUUUAGUUCAGAAUUACGAGCUUAACAUAACUAACUAUAUGUUCAUAAAAAAUAACUUUUAAUGUAAAUUUGAUUAAAACUUUUUAAAGAUUGAUUUAAAUUUUAUAUUUAUUUAAAUUAAAAGAACACCAAAUAAUGAAUGUACGUCUAUUCAUUAACUAGGUGUACAUUUAUCAUCAAAUCAUCAACACCCUAUCAAUAAUAAAUAAUGUAUUACAUAAGUAAAGGGAUAACAAUUUCCAUCUACAAAUAAGAAAAAUAGUACUAGUCAUUCAUGUUACAACCAUGUGCUUAAUUGAUAGUAGAAUACAUUUCUACCAAAUAUUUCAUAAUUACUUACUAAACCCUUCCUACACAAAUCUUCUAUUUAUUUUUAUGUUUUAAAGCUUUGGUUCUUUUAGAUUUCUAAAAUGUAUUAUAGAAGAUAAAAAAAAUUCUAACAAGUAUUUGUGCAUUUUUUUUUUCAAUUACACAGUAGUAAAUAAAACUAUUUUUUACAGGAGUAUUACUAACUUUUAUAUUUACCAAUACUUAUAAUGAAGUAAUGCUAUCUCUUAUCUUUAGAAAUUUAUUUCUUAUAUAUGAGAUAAAGAUAACAUAUUUUUAUGAUGCUUUUUAUAAAUUAAUAUUUGUUUAGUGAUAAAAUAUUUUAUAAUAUUUAUGAUUAUAAUUUUUAAAUUUAUUUAUUUAUAGAUAAAUGAUUUUUAUUAUUAGAUUUUAUUCUCAUAUUAGAUAUUCUAUUAUUAUUCUUAUAUUAUAUGUAAAUAUUCUCAACUAAGUUUAAAGUAAAAUAAAUUAAAUGCAUUUACAUUCAUUAUGCUGAAUAAUGUAAUUUUCAAAAUAUUUUGAAAUGUAUGGUUAGAUUAAUAUAAUAAAUAAAUAGUAUAGUAAAAAGAGAGAAAAAACUGAUUUAACUUUACUUUAUGUAAAACGAGUAGUAAUGACAUUUAAUAAUGUUUUAAUAUUAAAAAUAAAAUAAAUAUAAAAAGUUAAAAAUUACCAUUUUAAAUAAUAUCACUUGAAAUAGUAUUUUUUUUAAAGAAAUUAUAAACUACUUAAAAAAUAUUUUUCAAACUUAUUAAAAAAGUCAAUGUAAGUUUUAUAAUUUAAAAACUAAAAUCUAGUUAGAAAUGUUUGGAAAACAUCCACUUAACAUGUAUGUAAUAUAAGUCAUUGUGUACAAUCUUCAUAAUUAGGAUGUUUUUGGGUUUUUACCAAUUUUUUUUUAUCAACAAAGAAUAAAUAAAAUAAAAAGAGAUAAGAGACUUUUUAGCAAUUUAAUCAAUAACUAAAUACAAGUGCAUUUAAUUUAGUGUUUACAAAACCUAAAAAGUUGACUAAACUGUUCAAACUUAAAAUGAAUUAUUCAACACGAAACUAAACAUAAGAAUAUAUAUUUAUCUAAAAUAUUUAACUGUAAUAUUUUUAGUAUCAAUGCAUACUACUCCAACUCCUCCACUACUAUCUGGUAUUUAUUUAACAGUAAAAAAAAACUUAAACUCUAAACUUAAAAAAGAAAAUACUUAAAGAGUGAUUUUGAAUAACCUAUCGUGAAACCAAACACCUACUGCAAAUAAAUAUUUUUUUUAACAUUGUAUUUUUUAUCAACAAUAAAAAAAAAUAAGAAUAAUUUUAGAAAUGAUCCAACUAUUAUAAAAAAAUCACAUAGAAACAAACACUUUUCUUCAAAAAUUUGUUACUAACUUUCUAUUAAAGAUGAAAACAAAUAAAUCAGAUUAAUACCUUAUUCCAAUGUUUUAAAAUAAAAGUCCUAGAAAUUCAAAAUCUCUUAAUAAAAAACACACAUUUCAAAGAAUAAGACAUUGAAUAACAUGUUUUUCUUAUUCAGAUUAAUGUUUAAAACCAAAACCAUUGGUUUGUAUUAGGUCAAUAAAAAAGGAAUAGUUUAAAGAGAGAGGUUGAGUUGAGCAAGAGUGUUCCAGAUUAGAGAUAAUGUUUUUUAGAUGUGGAGCUUGCAUCUCUCGUGUUGUCUACUUUAAAGUUCACUAUGCGAAUAAUAAACUAAAGGAUGUCGUUGUCUUUAUACAAGAGUGGAUGUGUCCCUAAACUAUCUUGAUUUUUAUUCAUUCUAUUUUUACCAAUAAAAAAUUGAACAAGAAAAACAAGUAAAUAUCCCACCAAAGGCAUAGCUUAAGUUGAGCAAAAGAGACUUUGUUCAAUAGACCGCUGUCUAAAAGUUUAAAACCUAUGUCAGAUUUAACUUUUUCUUUUAGAUACAAAGCAUUUUAACUUUCCUCUGAACAGUGCAUGUGGUUUAUUUUCUACAUCUUAUAUUAUCAUAUCUGUCAUUUUUUGUUUUUAUGUUAAAUCAUUGUCCUUUCUUGUCAUUUACCCUGAAUUUUUGUGAGUGUUUUGUCACCCUCCAUUCGUCUUUUUAUGCAUUUUCAGAAGUUGUCCUCAACAAAAAACUGAGCACAUUAUUACUCAUAGCAGAAAAUUAUGGUGGAACUUGCUACUUAUCUAUAAAUAGCCUCUUUGCAGGCACAAGGGUCUCCCACAGCAUCUGUAGAAAGAAGAGUGUGCUGUGUUGGAGCAGUCAUGUUUAAGGGCAAUACCUCAAAGGUUCACCAAGUGAAGGGGACAGUGGUUUUGAUGAGCAAGAAUGCAUUGGACUUCAACAAAGAUGGUGCCACUGCCAUCUUCAGCCCUGACUUUUCCAUAAAGCUUAUCAGUUCUAACAGGGUUGAUGGUUUGUUUCUUCCUUUUCUCAUAUAAACCAUGCAAAAUAUAACAUACACAUACAUAUAUCUUUAUUAAACAUUCCAUUAAUAUUUAUAGUUUUUCCUUUUAUCUGUCUUCAUUGGGGAGUGAAAAAACAAUUCAUUCAUCAUCCUCCUACAUCAUUAAAAAAAAAAACACAAAAACUAAUUUUAAAUACUAAAUUAGAAACCAUUUUAAUACUAAAACAAUUUUUAAUUUAUAAAUUAAUUUUUAUUAUUAUUAGAUAGUUUCUAAAUUGAUAUCUAAUUAGAUUUUUUUUACCAAAUAUGAUGUAAAUUUAAAAAUUAUUUAACAAUAAUAAAAAUUAAUUAGAAACCAAAAAUUAUUUUAAUAUUGAAAAUGAUCUCAAAUUUAGUUAUAGAAUAAUUAAUUAUUUUAAUUAUUUUUUAUGUAUAAAAUUGAUUUCUAUUUAAUCUUAUGAUUGACUAAUGAUCUCCAUCUAUCCUUUUUUUAAAUCUAAGUCAUGCUUCCAAUAAUCAGUACUAUUUCAUAUUUUAUGAGACUUUUUAUAUGUUUUCUUUAUAAAAUAUUGCAAGAAAUCAGUUUUCUUGUGAAUUUUUCUAUGGAUUUUGUACAGUCUGAAAAAAAUAUGUGCAUGAACUUUUUUAUGAAAUAUGAAAAAUUGUAGUUGUCAAUAUUUAAUUGAUAAAAAAUAAUCUAACAGUAUUUUGCAUAGUUAAAUCUUUCUUAAUUUUAAAAAAAUAUGGUAUUAAAAUUUCUUUUACAAGUUUUCUUUUUGAUUUUUAUGAAAAUGUAUUUUCUAUUUUGAAAAUAUAUUUUUUUAUAGAUUAUUUGAAUAUCCCAUAUUAGAAAUAAUUAAUGGAUGUAUUACAUUUGAAUUUUAACAAAUGGAGUAAGAUGAAUUGAAAAUUUUAAUUAAUAACAAAAUUAAUGAAUUUUUUUAUCCAAUACAUUAUGAUUUGAAAUAAAAUUUAUCUAACUCAUUAUGUUUGACCCCUUAAUUAAUCACAGUACAUGAGUUUCCACAUUUAUAGCUCUUUCACUUCUCUAGUUUUUUUUUUUCUUCUAAGAUUAUGUUGGAUUUGUUAAAAACAUAUGGGACUGUACAAAACAAAAUUUCUGAUGUUUGCUUUGAAAUAAAUUAAGUGAAGAACAUAAAAGUGUGAAGCUAAUUUCUAUUUGAGCAUUAUUCUUGCUAGGUAUUUUUAAUCGGUUUCCACUUAUGAUAAAAAAAUUCUAGUAUUAGUAUUCUGUCAUUUUAGUGGAUUUGGGGAGAAAAUAUCAAGAAAGAAAAGUAUUUAUGUGAUCGAGAGAAGGUCAGAGAUUUGUAAGUAUUGUGUGUAAAUAAUGAUUUUGCCUCAAUUAUUUAUUUGUUUUUCUUUAUUUUUUAAAUUAUCACUGUCCAUUAAUAAAUAAUUAUUUUUCAUUUUUUCAAUUAAAUUUUCUAAUAAAUAUACACCAAAGAAAAAAAUUACUUCAUAAAAAAUAUUUAACAGGUAGCAAAAUACUAAUAAUUUUGAUUUAAUAUAUUAUUUAUUUUUUAUUAUUUUGCUUUAAUGAAACUAAAUUUAUACAAAUGUGUAUAUGUAAGUAAUUGUUGUUGUUAAAGAGUUUGAUUAGAAAUAAUAAGUUCAAAAUUAUAGAAUAUAAGUAGAUGGAAAUUUCAUCUCACAAUUUGUUAGAUUAAAUUAAAUAAAAACUAAUUUUAUAGACAAAAAAUAAUUAAUUGCUAUCGACUAAAUUAGAAACCAUUUUAAAAACCUAAAAAAUUAUUAGUUUCUAAAUUAGUUUAUAUUAUUGAUAGUUUAUAAAUUGAUAUAUAAUUUAGUCAAUAUAACAACUAAUUAUUUUUAGUGGUUAAAAUUGGUUUUUAUUGAAUAAUUUUCUUAGUUUAGAUAAAUAAUAUGUUAUGGAGAUUAAAAAAAUGUCUUAUUUGAGUUUGAUAAUAUUCUUUAUUUAGGGCAUAAGAAUGGGAAGGUUGGAAAGGAAACCUCUCGGGACAAAAAUCAACCUGCUUCUUCGUUACCAACCUUGGGAGAGGGAAAAACUGCAUUCAAUAUUUCUUUUAAAUUGGAUGAAAGUUUUGGAAUUCCAGGAGCAUUCUACAUCAAAAAUUUAAAGCAACCUGAGUUUUUCCUUGUGACUCUCACUCUUGACAUUCCAGAUCAUGGAACCAUUCACUUUGUUUGCAACUCAUGGGUUUACAAAGCACAGAAGGAUCGUAUUUUCUUUGCAAACAAGGUAACUAAGUUGUGCACCUAUCAAGCAAUAUAUGAAUCUGGUUUUUGUACUCACUAGGAAAAUCUAUAAACUGCAUAAUCUUGUUUCUUUUAUGUAUACAUUGGUUUGGUAAGCUGCAGUUUGACCUAGCUAUAUGAAUUAAGGGGCUAAAAAAAAAAACAUUAGGUAUGGAGAGCUAUCUCAACUCAUACACAUCACCAUAAAUUAAUCCGAAUUUGUUUGUAUAAACUUGUAACACCUUUAAGGUACUUAAUGAUCUAAUAUAUGAAAUUUAAACCCUAUAGUUUAUAAACUUCACAAAAUUCAUCCCUAUUGUCUAAAUGAAGAAAUUCAUUGAACAUGUUUCAGACGUAUCUUCCAGAUACAACUCCAACUGCUUUUAAAAAGUACAGAGAAGAUGAAUUGAAAAGUCUGAGAGGAGAGGGAAAAGAAAAAGGAAAGCGCCAAGAACAUGAAAGGAUUUAUGAUUAUGAUGUGUAUAAUGAUUUGGGCAACCCAGACAAGAGUGAUGAUCUAGCUCGUCCUGUUCUUGGAGAUUCUAGUGCCUAUCCAUACCCUCGCAGGGGAAGAACUGGAAGAGACAAAACAAAAAAAGGUUAGGGAUUAUUUUUCACUUUAAAAAAAUUAUUUCCAAAUUAAUUUGUCGAGAAUCUAUGUAUUGUCUCUGAUAUUCUUAUUUAACUUGAAUAGAAUUGUUUGUAUGAAAGAUGCACCUAGCUUCACAAAAACAAUGUCAAUAUUCUGUCAUUAUGUGUGGUUAUGUUAUUACUAAUUUGAUCUCUUUUAGAUAUAAUGAGGAUGUUCAAUAUGUUUUUGGAAAUAUAGAGAUGCUAUUUUUGUUAUUAGUAAGAAAAAAAAUUACAAUGAUUAGAAUUAAAGAAAGUAUAUGUAGUAUAGCAAAAGGUUAUAAACACAAACCUGCUAGUAGGUAUGUUUUUUUUAUUAAACACAAUUGAUUUGUAUUAGGUUUACUAGGGGUUUAUUUUGUUAUUUGAAAGAUGAUGUCGUUUUUGUUUUAUUGAGCUAAUUGUUAGGUAUUAAGGAUGUAUAAGGAUUGAAUCAUCCUCUAUUCUAUAUUUUUUUUUUGUCGAUAAAAAAAAACUCUCUUAAUGUAACUCUUGUGACACUAAUGUCACUACAAGAAAAUCAUGAAAUAGAAACCAAUUUUUAGAGACCAAAAUAAUUAGUUGCAAUAGUAACUAAAUUAGAGACCAUUUUAGAAACUAAACAAAAUUUUGGUUUCUAAAUUAGUUUCUAUUAUUGUUAAAUAGUUUCUAAAUUGGUAUUUAAUUAGCAACCAAGGUUUUAGAAACUAAAUAAUUGGUAGUUAAAACCUUGGUUAUUGCUAAUUUGAUACCAAUUUAGAGAUUAUUUAACAAUAAUAUAAACUAAUUUAGAAACUAUUUUUUUUUAGUUUCUAAAAUGGUCUCUAAUUUAGUUACUGUUGCAAAAUUGGUUUCUAUUUCAUGAUUUUUUUAUUGUAGUGUGUAGAGUUAGCUCAAGAGGAUAAAGGAAGGAAUAAUAGAGUAAAAAAAAAAACUCUUAAAACACUUAAAGACAAAAUAUCAUUUAGUUACUAUAGUGACUACAUUGGAAACCAUUUUAGAAACUAAAAAAAAAUGGUUUCUAAAUUAAUUUAUAUUAUUGUUAAAUAGUUUCUAAAUUGAUAUUUAAUUAGUUAUCAAAGUUUUAACUACCAAUUAUUUAAAUUAUAAAUUUGGUAGUAAAAACCUUAGUUGCUAGUUAGAUACCAAUCUAUAAACAAAUUAACAAUAAUAUAAACUAAUUUAGAAACCAAAUUUUUUUUUAGUCUCUAAAAUGAUCUCUAAUCUAGUCACUAUACCAACUAAUUAUUUUUUGUCUUUAAAAUUGAUUUUUAUUUCAUGAUUUUCUUCCCAUAAUUUAAUAGAGUGUUUAAGAUAAGACAGUUUCAAGUAGAUGGUCUUCUGUAUUUUUCAAUAAACUAUCACAAUCUAGAGCCAAUACAUCACAACAUUGAAAUGUCGUUACUUCUAAUUGUUAUUGUUAAUGAUACAAUAUUAAUUUUUAUUUAUCUCCAUUUCUAACAGACCCUAAGAGUGAGACACCAGCCAGCGGCGACACUUACAUUCCAAGAGAUGAAAAAAUUGGUCACUUGAAGUCAUCAGACUUUCUUACAAAUGGAAUAAAGUCCUUGGCUCAAAAUGUCUUACCUCAAUUUCAAUCUGCAAUUGCUUUAGAUCCUGAGUUUGAUAACUUUAAUGACGUUCGUGGACUCUUCAAAGAUGGACUUCCUCUUCUUACAGACGCAAUCAGAACAAUUAGCCAAACACCAGUGAUAAAGGAAAUCUUCCAGAUUGAUGGUGAAAAAGUCAAGUUUCCACCACCUCAUGUCAUCCAAAGUAUUGUCUAUUUAUAUGUCACACCUAUAUAUAUAUAAAGUAAAAUAAGCUACUAGUGAUUGGCAUGGCAACAAGUAUUUUUUAUAUUUAACAUAUCUAGUUGUUUUCCAUAAAAUUUGGAGCAGAUGGUGAGUCAUGGAUGACUGAUGAAGAAUUUGGAAGAGAGAUGCUUGCUGGUGUUCAUCCUUGCCGAAUUCAGCGUCUUCAAGUAAAUAAUGCUUUGUUGUUUAUUAACUUGGAAUGAUUUGGUUUUCAUGUUGAAAUAUAUUCAUUGUUUAUCAUCUUAAUUUACUCACAAUGUUAUUUAAUGCAUCACAGGAGUUCCCUCCAACGAGCAAGCUAGAUGCUUCUGUGUAUGGUGAUCAAACUAGCAAAAUUACCAAAAAAAAUUUGCAGAUCAACCUUGGUAAACUCACCGUGGAAAAGGUGAAUGAUAUAUAUUAAUUCCAAAGCAAAAUAACACAUAAAUAUUCAUUUAACCAUGACGCUGAAUGAUUAUAAUGAUACUUGUUCAACAGGCAUUGAAAGAUAACCGAUUGUUCAUAUUAGAUUACCAUGAUGCAUUCUUACCAUUUCUGAGGAAGAUCAAUGGCCUACCCAACACAAAGUGUUAUGCCACAAGGACAAUCCUUUUCUUGAAAGAUGAUGGCACAUUGAAGCCAUUGGCUAUUGAAUUAAGUCUACCACAUGCUGAGGGAGAUAGGUGUGGUGCUAAUAGUAGAGUUAUCUUGCCUGCACACCAAGGCGCUGAAAGAACAAUUUGGCAAUUGUCCAAGGCUUAUGUUGUUGUAAAUGACUCAUGUUAUCAUCAACUUGUGAGCCACUGGUACAUAUAAAUUCUUCCAUCAUGAAUGAACUAUCAAUUUUUUGAAUUUACUAAGUGGUUCUUAAUUUAUUUGGUUUCUGUAUCAUUUGAUAACAGGUUAAACACUCAUGCCAUAAUGGAGCCAUUUGUCAUAGCAACAAAUAGGCAUCUCAGUGUGCUCCACCCUAUUCAUAAACUUCUAUCACCACACUAUCGUGACACCAUGAAUGUUAAUGGAGUUGCACGACAAUCACUUAUCAACGCAGGUGGCCUUAUUGAGCAAUCCUUUUUGCCUGGAAAAUACGCUUUGGAAAUGUCUUCAGCAGCUUACAAGAAUUGGGUUUUCACUGAUCAAGCCCUUCCUGAAGAUCUCGUCAAGAGGUAAUGUUUAUACACAACUAGCUUUUAAUUAAUACUCUGUACUUUAGUCAACAACUCUCACUUGGAAUUUAUUUACAUAUAUACUAAUACAAUAUUUUAAUUUACAAUUUUUCUCCUGUUUGAGAUGUAAAUAAUAAAUGCUUUGUUUUCCUCCGUGAUUCAGAGGAAUGGCAGUUAAGGAUUCAUCAAAUCUCCUUCAACUUGUGAUAAAGGACUACCCUUAUGCUGUUGAUGGACUAAAGAUAUGGAGUGCUAUUCUGAAUUGGGUUACAAAGUAUGUCUCCUUCUACUAUUCAGAUAGAGUUGGGGAAGACAGAGAACUCGAGUCUUGGUGGAAGGAGGUAGUUAAGGAGGGUCACGGUGACUUGAAAGACAAGCCAUGGUGGCCAACAAAGUUGAACACUCGUCAAAAUCUGAUUCACAUUUGCAGCACUAUCAUAUGGAUUGCUUCAGCUCAACAUGCAGCUGUUAAUUUUGGACAAUACCCUUAUGGAGAUCACAUCCUAAACCGUCCAACUCUAACCAGAAGAUUGAUCCCAGACCCAGGAACCAAAGAAUAUAAUGAGCUGAGCACCAAUCAUGAAAAGGCUUAUCUGAAAACAAUUACAAAAAAACAUGAGGCCCUUGUGAACCUUUCAGUGAUAGCGAUAUUGUCAAGACAUGCUUCUGAUGAGGUCUAUCUUGGACAGAGGGACAAUCCAAAUUGGACUGAUGAUGAAAAGGUUCUUAAAGCCUUUAAACAUUUUGGAGGAGAACUGAAAAAAAUUGAGAAUGAGAUCUUAGAAAGGAACAACAAUUCAAGUCUCAGAAACCGUGUUAAGAUGCCCUACACUGUGCUUCUUCCUACCAGUGAGGAAGGUCUCACUUUCAGAGGAAUCCCCAACAGCAUCUCUAUUUAAGGAGUGUACGUGUGUGGUUUAAUGUUUGUCCAACUUUAUUGCUCAAUAUCAAAUAAUGAUGUUUGUUUGUAUCUGCAUAAUUGUCGGGUGUAUGCUUAAGUAAUGCAUGGGGAUGUUACGUGGUUCUCCAUUUAAUAAGAGUGGUAUCAUUUUCUGUU